CGAAAGAUCGGAUACGUUGGAAAUAGGAGAGGAGAUGGAUGGGGCGCGAGGGGCGAGGCUAGGGUUGGCUAGUCUGGGCGAGGUGAGGCGAAGCUUGAUAGGGUGGGUCGUGGGGAUAGCGUGAAACGUGGCGGACGAUUUGAGAGGGCCGGCGGCCGGCUGACGCUGAACCCAAGGGCUGAACCGGUGGAGUGGGGGGCGCGAAAAGCGUCGCGACGCUCCUCGGUGGCGGCACGAACUAAAAGUCCGGGCGGCACGACGCGCCAGUAUUCAGCCCGCGACCAUCGCGAGUGUACGCGUAGUGUUUCGCCUCGCCCUCGCCUCGUCUCGUUUCGCCUCGCCUCCCUUUUUCGUUCCCGAUUCGUUCCAAAAGUGAAUUUUUCUAUCGAGCGUAUACGAGUGUACACGUAUCCCGACUGGAAGAAGAAUCGAAGAAGUGGAAGAAGAAGGAAGAAGAGUGAGUGUUGACGAUGGUAAUACCGAUGUGAGAAAGGAGGAAAAGUGAGAAUAAAAGAAGAAUCGAUAAGGGGGAGGAAGAGAGUGGGAGCGGAAAUCUGGCGAAACGCGAGCGGGCGGGUGAUAUGAGUGAAUACAGGAUCUUUCGUGACGUUAAAUGAUCGAGUUACGGCUCGGUCGAAACGAAUCCCGUCGAUUAACCGGCACGCGAUACCACGCCGGGG